rnacentral:rRNA from 1 species
GACGAACGCUGGCGGCGUGCCUAAUACAUGCAAGUCGAACGCUGAAGGAGGAGCUUGCUUCUCUGGAUGAGUUGCGAACGGGUGAGUAACGCGUAGGUAACCUGCCUGGUAGCGGGGGAUAACUAUUGGAAACGAUAGCUAAUACCGCAUAAUAUUGACUAUUGCAUGAUAGUCAGUUGAAAGGUGCAACUGCACCACUACCAGAUGGACCUGCGUUGUAUUAGCUAGUUGGUGGGGUAACGGCUCACCAAGGCGACGAUACAUAGCCGACCGGAGAGGGGGAUCGGCCACACUGGGACUGAGACACGGCCCAGACGCCUACGGGAGGCAGCAGUAGGGAAUCUUCGGCAAUGGACGGAAGUCUGACCGAGCAACGCCGCGUGAGUGAAGAAUGUUGUCGGAUCGUAAAGCUCUGUUGUAAGAGAAGAACGAGUGUGAGAGUGGAAAGCUCACACUGUGACGGUAGCUGACCAGAAAGAGACGGCUAACUACGUG